rnacentral:rRNA from 1 species
AUGCGGUAUGACGGUACCCUUUCGAAUAAGAGGUUGCUAACUCUGUGCCAGCAGCAGCGGUAAUACAGAGACCUCGAGCGUUAUCCGGAUUUACUGGGCGUAAAGCGUCUGUAGGGGGUUUGCUAAGUUCCAAGUAAAAUCUUAAGGCUCAACUUUAAGUUCGCUUGGAAAACUAAUAAACUGGAGUCCAGCAGAGGUGCAUGGAACUUGCGGUGUAGGAGUGAAAUCCGUUGAUAUCGCAAGGAACACCAAAGGCGAAGGCAUUGCACUGGGCUGGUACUGACCCUGAGAGACGAAAGCGUGGGGAGCAAAACGGAUUAGAUACCCGUGUAGUCCACGCCGUAAACGAUGGAUACUAGAUGUUCGGGGAUUCGACCCCCUGGGUGUCACAGCUAACGUGUUAAGUAUCCCGCCUGGGAAGUACGGCCGCAAGGCUAAAACUCAAAGGAAUAGACGGGGAUCCGCACAAGCGGUGGAGCGUCUGGUUUAAUUUGAUAGUAAGCAAUGGACCUCACCAAGGUUUGACAUCCUAUGACAACCCUGGAAACAGGGCUUCCUUCGGGCAUAGUGACAGGUGCUGCAUGGUCGUCGUCAGUUCGUGCCGUGAGGUGUUCCGUUAAGUCGGGAAACGAACGAAACCCUCGUCGCAUGUUACAAAUUUCAUGCGAGACUGCCCGGGUCAACCGGGAGGAAGGCGGGGAUGACGUCAGAUCAGCAUGGCACUUAUACCUUGGGCUACACAGGCGCUACAAUGGCCGGUACAAAGGGUUGCAAAACCGCGAGGUGAAGCUAAUCCCAUAAAGCCGGUCCAAGUUCGGAUUGGAGGCUGCAACUCGCACUCCAUGAAGUUGGAAUCGCUAGUAAUCGUGGAUCAGCCAUACCACGGUGAUACGUUCCCGGAUCUUGUACUCACCGC